rnacentral:tRNA from 1 species
GGGGAUAUAGCUCAGCUGGGAGAGCGCUUGAAUGGCAUUCAAGAGGUCAGGGGUUCGAACCCCCUUAUCUCCACCA